rnacentral:rRNA from 1 species
AUUGAACGCUGGCGGCAUGCCUUACACAUGCAAGUCGAACGGCAGCGGGGACUUCGGUCCGCCGGCGAGUGGCGAACGGGUGAGUAAUGUAUCGGAACGUACCAUUCAGUGGGGGAUAACUAUCCGAAAGGAUAGCUAAUACCGCAUAUUCUGUGAGCAGGAAAGCAGGGGAUCGCAAGACCUUGCGCUGAUUGAGCGGCCGAUAUCAGAUUAGCUAGUUGGUGGGGUAACGGCUCACCAAGGCUACGAUCUGUAGCGGGUCUGAGAGGAUGAUCCGCCACACUGGGACUGAGACACGGCCAGACUCCUACGGGAGUCAGCAGUGGGGAAUUUUGGACAAUGGGCGCAAGCCUGAUCCAGCCAUGCCGCGUGAGUGAAGAAGGCCUUCGGGUUGUAAAGCUCUUUCGGCCGGGAAGAAAUCGCAUCAGCUAAUACCUGGUGUGGAUGACGGUACCGGAAUAAGAAGCACCGGCUAACUACGUGCCAGCCGCCGCAGUAAAAC